rnacentral:ribozyme from 12 species
UGCAUAUAUAAAUGGAGGGUGGAGGGGAGGGUGGAAGAAGUAACCGUUUGACGAAAAACGAGAAAAGAAGUGAAACUUGGAGAAACGUUGACAUGAUGAGUUUUCCCUUUUUUUUUUAAAUCCUUUUCUUUAAAUUUUCUUUCUUUAACGUUUUUUCAAAUUAACUUUAUC